CGACCUCGGGUACAAUGAAAAAGAAAAAAUACGCCAAGUCUUAAGCGGCGGCAGUAACAUCUGCGGGGUCGUCCGUGGCGAUGGCCUCAGGACCUUCAGCCGGCACAGGCUCGGGGUCUUCUCCAACUGGCUUAGCACUUUCCAGAUCAUGCCAUCCCCCUUCCCGUUUCAAGUCAGCACCUUUCUUUCUCCCUGACUUGUCUUGCCCACGCUUCUUUAGCAUCUCUAUCAGGGAAGGAUCCAUCUUCUCCGCCUGUGCCUCCACAAUCUCGCCCGCUGACAUGAAAAAAU
rnacentral:lncRNA from 1 species